GAGCAUGCAGAUCAUUGACAAACUGCAAUUCAACAAAAUUAAGCAGCAUAAAUCACGCUAGAGGGCAAACGUAAGAGAAAUGAUACAGUAUUGGAUUCCACAUCCACUAGCAGAAUGAAAAAUCUAUUGGUUUCCCUGACAACAUGAAAGACAAGAAGAAAUACUGCAAAAUUUGUUCCUUUGGUUCACAGCUCAUUGAUUCCAACCAUUCUUACCGGGAAACAAACAAAUAAUCAAUUUAGAGCACUUCCAACCUUCACCAAGUGUGUUAUGCUUUUGUUUUUCCAAAAGGAAAGACAAGAAACAAGUUUCUUAAAAAAUAAACCACAACAGGCACCUGGCUGACCGACAGCACCAAAUGAAAUGCAACUUAACUUAAUUUAAUACUUAAUGAUUAACAAUUCUCUAUAUAAAGUGAAUCCUGACCUUAAGAAGUCGGAAAACUUUC
rnacentral:misc_RNA from 1 species